AUUGAACGCUGGCGGCAGGCUUAACACAUGCAAGUCGAGCGAGCGGCGGACGGGUGAGUAAUGUCUGGGAAACUGCCUGAUGGAGGGGGAUAACUACUGGAAACGGUAGCUAAUACCGCAUACCAUCAGAUGUGCCCAGAUGGGAUUAGCUAGUAGGUGGGGUAAUGGCUCACCUAGGCGACGAUCCCUAGCUGGUCUGCGAGGAUGACCAGCCAAACGGGAACGGGGACACGGUCCAGACGCCGACGGGGGGCAGAAGUGGGGAAUAUUGCACAAUGGGCGCAAGCCUGAUGCAGCCAUGCCGCGUGUGGGAAGAAGGCCUUCGGGUUGUAAAGCAAUUUCAGCGAGGAGGCGGUACUCGCAGAAGAAGCACCGGCUAACUCCGUGCCAGCAGCCGCGGUAAUUC
rnacentral:rRNA from 1 species